CCACCAGGUAAUCUCCAUGGCAUAUAAGAGAAAAGUACACCCCACCACGCCGCAGUAGAGCCGCGUCUGAACUGCGCUUUGGUCGUUUCUACAUCAUUCCAAUUUGUGUUUGUACCGGGGCUUUGGAUGUGUGUCAGAUAAAAUGUGAUUGUCACGUUGCCCCUAACCAGUCCCAGCACUUUCAGUCAGGCUUCGACCUUUGGGUUCUGUACUGGCCACUUUUGUAUGUGAACUUGACACAGGCUAGAAUCAUCGCGGCAGAAAGGAGCUUCACCUGGAAAUGCUUCCACGAGAUCCAGCCGUAAGGCAGAAAGCAAAACUUCCGUCAACACACCGAAUGAAAAACAGAAAUAAAAAGGAGGAGGAUGCGACUACUUCUUAGAUGGUGUCACUAAGCAGUCUGUGAUUGUCCUACUUCUGCCUUGCAAGUCGCUGAAAUAAAACAAACGAACAAAC
rnacentral:lncRNA from 1 species